UACAACUUCCUGGGCAUCCUCUUAUGUCUACUAAUAUUUAUUGCAAUUGAACAAAUAUUAAUCGACAAGCGAACGUUACAUCCUUUCGAUCGAUAAUCGUUAUUCUGAACGAGUAUUGGACAGGAUCGAUGGUAAUAUUUCUCAACGAUAUACAUGGUAGCAGUGUGUCAACCGAAGAUACGAACGGCGACAAUGAAGGAUACUGUGGAUAUGGCUUCGACGAUAAACUCCUGCGUCGAUUUUUCAUGCUGACGACACAGCUAGAAGUCGAAGCUCUUAACGCGUUCACGUGGAAGUCGAAAUGUCCACUGGCCCUGGAAAAGCCUCGAAAACUCUCGAACCACCAACUGAAAAGUACGAGGUUCGAGAUUCUUAACGGAGUCGCACCUUGCAGCUCUUCACGGAGAAACGAAGCGAGGGCGUGUCUCGUUGAAUUCGCAACUUCCUGCAUCUUUUUAACUUCUUCCUGCCUAUCUGCCCUCUCCCUCUCUCUCUCUCUCUCUCUCUCUCUCUCGUUUGCGUUACAUUCUCACAUUUUCUUAACAAUUGGCUUUGUGUGACACGUAAAUGAUUUUAAAAUUCUCUGUAUCAGUUUCCAUCGAUCUGUCGAUUUUCCUAACGUAUCGGGAUAUUGGUCGUCUUCAAAUUGAAUGGAAAAUCAGAAGACGAGGCGAAAUGAUGUUCCUCACCGGAAGAAUAACCCAUGUGAGAAACUGAUGUCGGUGAACAAAGCAGCUUCUAUGGACUAUCAACGAGAAGAUGGAUGUUCGCUUCGAUCGAAUGGCUAACAUGAACAUACAUAUUUCAACCUAUGCCCGCUUCCCUUCUGCGUUAUCUCCGGAAUUUGAUAUCGAAUGUGCCAACGACGUAGCUGGAUAUCAUUCGUCAUACUUCCGAAUGUUGAAACAUCGCAGAUGUAAGAAACAUGCACGUCCGUUCUUUCUGUCGCUAGAUUUAUUCGAAACGAUUGAAAUGGUAUUAAGCUGUGUAUUACGAUAACAACUGGAAUCUUACGGAUUUUUAUUGCCAGAAAUACGACUCGGGAAUCACAAUGAAACCAAUAUUUCAGAUUUUAUUAUCCAGAACUUUAAUUUGACCAUACGAACUUAAAUCAACCGCGAAAAACGUGAUAACCCGUGACGAUAGAAUUGCUUUUAAAUCGUAAUCGUACUUUGUGGAUACCUGUUGGAACUAACUGCGAUUUCCUCGUUCAAGUGCUACCGAUUUCCCUCUCCUUCUCUUAUGCAUCAACUUCGAGCUAGAUGAAUUUCACUAGAUCAUAUUCUCGAGAAAAUCGUUCCUCUGGCUUUUACUGCGUUUUACUUCGCGACUCGAUUUAUGUAUCUCAUUCCGUCGCCGACAGAUUCUCACCAAUUUUUCCGUCCAACUUGUAACAGUUUUUCUCCAGUUUUCCGGCUAUAAACGAUUCGUCCUGCUUUGUGUCAAAGAACGUUCGAUUUCCUAUCGGAAACGAUACUGAUUAAAAAACUUUUCGAUCAUAAUUUGAAAGCCGAUGGCUAUCGCAGCCUCUACUUCCUGUAUUUUAACAGCAAAUCUGAAUUUUUGACAUAUCGAAAAGAAACACCGACACUACCGAAAAUCCUUAAAAGCUAUAGUUGGUAAGUUUUAAUGUACAACGCGGUCACGAGACGUUGCGGUGUUUCGCGAAUGCUACCGCAACCGGCGUCACCAUUUACUCUUUAGUAAGUUUCCAAACUUGAAACUUUUACAAGACGGCGCGUAUAGGCAGCAAGCCGUGUGCACAGGCGGCACAGGCGGCACAGUCGCUCCUUCUUCAUCAUCUUACUCGCGGUUGCACACCUCGACAAACACAAGAAAAGUCGGCACGCUAUUAGAAAAAUGCAGCAGUUCGACUUUCUACUCUGCUAAAAUCUGCUCUUCCCUCCAUCUCUUUCGCCAUCCAGUUAAAUUUCCGGUUGCGUUUGUUGUACUUUUAGGAACGUGACGUACGACGCCUUUCUUACCGCAAUCGGAAUUCUCACGUCGAAACAAAUAAUAUCUUGGACAAAGAAGAAGUUAAUUAUUUCGCAAGAAAAUUUAUCGAAUUCGUCUAGCAACGGAAUUCACGUUCCAAGUGCCAACUGAUUUUUCACGUUUCGUUUAACGAGAGGAAUUAGCAGAAAUUCCUAAUUAACGUUAUCUUAUUUGGUGUAUCUUCACAAUUUGCAUCGCUGAUUGCAGUUUCAUCCAAAUUAGUAGUUAAAGCUUCGCUAAUGUAUAAUCAAAGAGUUACUGAAACACACAAGAGUCGUGUGUAGACGUUGUUAGACGGUAUAACGUAAAUUUAUUACGCUACUCCGAACCACUGAGAUUUCUCACUGAAAUUCCUACUGGGAACUCCUGUUAUUGGGGAAGUCGUAGUCAGAUUUAAUCCCGAUAUUCAAUACAGCCAAUCUGCAUGCAUCUAGCGCCCGAAAUGUCUACGAACCGUUGGUGUCGAUCGAAAGCGUUAAUGUCACGGUUUGCAUCCUGCAAAUCAUCCUAAUUGGUUCGACUUGCUGAAUUAUCUGAAAAUUUCUUUCGUUCAUUUUCCAAAAAUAAUUGAAAACGAUCGAAUUACAAACAGUCGAGAAUUAAUUGGUCGCGUCAAGCUAAAGGCUUGUCUCUGCAACUAUGUAACCGACAUGAUAUAUUUCAUUUCAUUGACGACAAUUAUAAUGGAGGGCAGACUUUGAUACAAUUACAUCUUACUAAGAGCAGAGAAUUGAAGCAGGGAAAACCCGUAAUCGGAUUACAGUUGGAGAGAGCAGUAAUCCGAAGUCCCGAACAAUUAAAUUUCUUCCGUAACUCGUACGUCUCUGGCAGAUCUCCAAAAUACAGCAGACAUUCGCGUAGAACGAAUGGCAUCCCGUAUAAGAACGUCGGGAAUGUGGAUGAUGGUUCAGAAGACCGUGAUUCACGAAGAUGCUUCAAAUUUGCGGAGCAACGUUUCCCUUCUGUCCGCGGUAUAUGGUUACCUUCCUUUUUACCGUGCUUUCGAUCGAACCACCUUGUAAUCUUUCCUCUAGAGCCUGCUCAAGAGGAAUAGGAGAUUCUAGAAUAAUGGAACUUUGAUGAAACUUUUUCACGUAAUUCGAAAGCAUCGCCGUCGUAAGAUACGAUAGACGCAAACACGUCAAAAAUGUUUUGUAAAGUCAGUUUUGCUAUGUACCGUCCCUCUUCUUACUCUUAUUAAAACAUUUCCCACCAAAAAUAUCGUAGAUUUUUAUCAAUUUUUCAGAGGAACAAUUUACAAACUUCUUUCGAAGUAAAGUAUCGAACGUACAAUAAAUCGUUCGAACGAUUCCCACUAGAAAUAGUUCGUACGCAUAUCGUUUUCCGCUUCUCGUUUGCGGGUAUCGAGGGCCAACGAAUGCAUGGUAUUGUCGUUUCAUCGAAUUACGUGUUGGGCACGCAGAUGCGUUACGAUCGAACGGCUCUCGUCCGAAAGUCCACAGCUUUUCCGCUCCCUUUUUCCAGACAGCGAACGAAUAUCGUUAUACGGGAACCUUUGGCCGGAAGUGUUACCGACCGUGCACAGAUUUGCAUGAUAUGAUAAUUUUUCUCGAUACACGAGAGAACAGCACGGUCCGUCGCCACGCCAGUCAUCCUGAAUCUGUACACGCUCGUGUAUUGCUGUGCAUACGACCGUGUGACGCGUACAUACACGGCCAACACCUAUGUUAACGGACCGAUAUUAAAGUAUGACAUGUAGUUAGGUAUAUCACGCGGCAUGACUCGUUUUACAAGAUAUCAUGCUCGUGAUACAAUUUGAAGCAUCGUAAACGGUGCGCUAAUCCGACGACACCUUCGCACCAUCUCUUUUCGUUGCAACGGUAUUUCAAUUUUUUCCUGCGUGAUAUCACAGUUUUUUUUCAGACAACUGUACGCCUAGAUGCUCGCAGUUCAUUCUGGGAAAGAGAUUCGACGUGUCUAGUUAUAUGCUCCAAGCAGCUGUAUAAUAAAUUUACAUGUUUCCGGCUGUUUCGGUGAGCGGAACGAAUUAACUUUACGCACGUGCAAACAACUCACGGUCGAAGUGUUUCCGCGCAGAAAAAUGAAAUAUUUAUUCGCGAGCUGCGCAAAGAAUACUCACGAUGUACGUACUCUGGCAGUUUAGACGGAUUGACGUACGCUUUAUGAGUCUUUAUAAUAGUUUGCUCACGCUUUUCCUACGCGCUCUACGAGAAGGCUGGAUCUUACGUACGGAGCACCGAACACAUCUCGUUAUGCUACCAUUAAAUUCGUGUACGACGAACAAACAAACGCUUCGCAAGAGACCUCGUUAAUCUUACGGUAACAAAGCCGUACAAGCAUCCUGAUGUCGAGAAGGAACGGAAGCCAUCCCUAUAUAUUAAGGUCGAGCAAGGGUGGCGUAGAACGAAACACAAAGAUCGUUUCGCGCGAAGAGACCGCGUCGAGGCGUAAUAAAAUAAAUAGGCGCGGGAGAACCUCGGCGCUCCUUUCACUCUUCGUAAGACCGACCGAGAAAAAAAUAGCGAAGCACCACCGCUGUCUGUAUUUCUGCUAUCGCGCGCAAUUGUUACAACGCGCGAAAAUAAACGCGCCACUCGCUACGUCUCCUUGAUAUUUAUUUUGAAACGUAAUUUAGGCGAGCUGGCAAACAAAUACGUUUUCAUUAUGUUCACAAAACAAUAUUGUUUUUCGUACAGCACCGUAAAAGAACUGGGGUCGCAGACUAACAAUAAGAAUUGCUUUUGUCUUCUGUAGAAGCAAAAACGUUCGAACGAUAAUCAAGAUGUAAUUUUAAAGCAUAGUCGAUAAGACUCGAGAAAUGUUUUACCGAUGACUUUAUCACGUUACCGAUGUUUCACGCAUCGCUACUUUCACUGGAACGAGAAACGUCCCGUUUCCUAUAAAUCGAAGAUUCAUGGUAGUUUGUGGUAACAGUGUUUGCGAAGGAUCCAGUUUACUAGGAGAGGAAUAAUUUGACUCGGGUUCAAAUCGUAUUUAAAUUUCACACGAGCUUCGAACGUUCUCGGAACGACGAUGAUACUCGCUCGAGAUAAAGUCGACCAUCGAUCAGCAACAAGAACGUGGCUUCGAGUUUUAGAAUCAAUAAUCGUUACAUUAUUCCUACGCUUUGUUAUUUCACGACAGCAACUGCGAUAGCAUUUAAUCUUAGCAAACUAAGUUCUAUUAAAAAAUAGAAGAAAUAUCAGCUUCCAGGUUGGCUUUGUUCGUUUAAAAUACUCUGCAGCCGGAUAAAAAAUAAACACGAGAGGAUAUCGAGAAUCCAUAGAAAUCGGUGGCAGAGCAUUCUCUCUAUAUAGUAUGGAUUCUAUGAUGAGAAGCUGUUUCCCACUUACGAAUCUACAUUUCCAUUAUAACAUUGAUAACUCGAGUACUAAGGUUGGCACGGAGCCGAGCUGGUGCUAGAUUUCAGUAAAAAGUAUGAAAGGAGACUUUAUUCGAUCAUCUAACGGGUAACCACGGAAACCAUCUUUCUCUAGGCUUUUGCAGAUCGACGCUCGAAAUUGUAUAACGAAUAAAGAUGAAAGUAAGGACGAUGAGUAACGCUGUGUAGCUCGUUGAUAUCGUACAUCGCCUUCGUUAUUCGGUGACGCAUAUUUCGGAAAGGAACGAAACUAAUAAAUGGAGGGAAAGGAAGAAACCACGUCCUCGUGAAACCAUGAAAGUAUUUCGAGCUAUCUUUCAAAAUACGAAAAUAAGAGGAAGAAGGUGUUUGCAUUAUUUUCUCUAGGUUCUCUUCGCUUUCCCGUGAUACUUUCACCUUGCUCAAUAGAAAUUAUCGUCGUUACGAUGGUUUUUAUCCAUCCUGACGUUACGCGAAAAAUGUGGCUUUUAAAGCUGGAAUUUAUAAAAUUUAUAAAUUAAAAAUCAACGUCUUCUCUCCAGAGGCAGAGAGUCCCUCCUUAUUUACUUGGUUCUCUACCCUGAGAACUCUAUCCAUGUUGACGUAACCGUUCGUGGAGCAUUGAAAAAACAGACGAGUCUCAGCAAAUAUUUGUGCGACUGGCAACUUACGAAUAGUUGCGAAUGACCACGAUCUAAUUAAAAAACAUUUCUUACUCGCGGUGUGGAUGUGAUUCGACGGAGGAAAAGAUAAAUACCGGAUUUCGGGAAUUCGAAAAGGUGGAUGUAGUCGCGCAUCUAGUCGGAUGCGUCUCGGUGCUGGGAAAAGUUUUCGAGGAAAAGAGGAACGAGCGAGGGAAGAAACGGUGCCGAUAUGUAAACUAUCUCUUUUCGAGUAAACUCAAUGUAAACUCAUUCCAUAGAUGAGAAAGUCGUGCCAUAUACAAAGUUUUCUAGACGAGAGAAAUUGAUAGACACGUACGCAAAGGCCGCUGCGAUCGUGGUCGGAGUAUAAAGAUCCGUCUAUUGCGAAAAAUUGACGUCGAACAGAUAUUUUCGUCGUUUCCUCCCACACAAAUUCCGUUCGAGUCAUUGAAAGAGGGAGAUUGGUACCGCGGUGUAUGUAAAUCAUAAGAAUACCCGAUUGUUUGAGACGCGAUCGAAGAAGAAUAAGGAAAACAUAGAUUUUCUUGUCGGCGAUAUCCAAGCGAAUGAAUAAAAAUUCUGAAAAUACUUUGGUAAAUCCUCUGAUCAAUGUUUUCGACAUAAACGUAUUCAAAUUAUAGUACAUUAAAGCUGUUUACAGAGAAUUCAUUCGAAAUUGAACCGCGAGAACAGAACUCUCGAUCACAAAUUAUUUUACAUUCCGCAUCCACCGGCUUAAACCGAACCGCUGAAAUCCAGCUUUAAGAUCAAACUUAAAUCAUUUUCUACAAAUCCAUUACCGGAUCCGAGUAAACCAAAUACUUGGUUCUUCCGUUGCAAUAACAAUUUAUGAAGAAGUCUGACGCGGAAAUCUGAAGAGAUUAACAUUGGCCUUCCGUCGAUUUCUUAGAUUCAACUCGAAGAAACGUAUAGCCAGUUGAUUACGAUAAGGAAUUCCAGCCUGUAAAUCUGUGGAAAUUCCGGAACAGUCCCGACGAUCUCGACUAGUCGACAGGAGUCGGUUUCCCUCCCACGGGUGUGUUUAUCUAGCGGGUGUGCCUGCAGAAUUCAACCACGGGCGAGCAAGAGGCGAGGCCUUAUCUUCUAUCGGAGAUUCCUCAGGUUCAGAGGCCAGGGGUUGGCCAACGGCCAAAAUGCCCCUUUUCCUUCUGGCCUGACAUCUGGAGCGAAAGAGGGAGAAAGAAUGAGAAUGAAGAGGGACAAAGGUAAAAAGAGACUCGCGAGCCGAGGAGGAUAAAAAGGCACGAACACAUUCAGGAACUUGGUUCAUUCGGUCGGUAGCGUGGUAAAAAGCAGCGUUUUCAUCAGGUUAAUCAUACCGUGGAACGUCACGUCCGUUAAAGUUCCGUAUCACAGCCGAAUACACCGAACCUGCAAGCACAUUAGCGUGAUCGAUUCCGCGGUUUGGCGUGAUCGAACGCGCUGCUUUGCGUUUCUCGUUUUAAUCGCUCCAAUGUUUCUGGAUAAUUAUCCUACCACGCGUGCAACUUCGGCCAUCUACGUACUCUUUUACAUAGUUUCGAACAUACGACUAAUAUUAUCAAAUACGGAGAAUAGAUCGUUUAUAUCUAAUAACAUAUAUAGUACGUCUUAGUUUUUCGAGCAUCAAAGAUUAACUCGUAAGAUAAAAGAAAUUUGCUGGAACGAGAAAGAUCGACUAUAAUAAAGUUAAAGAUUACUAGGUUACAAAACGACAACAACGAGAAGCAAAAUGGGUACGGCUUCCGUUUAUGAAUAUUAAUGUGUCGCUAAGCCGAGGUUAAGCGCAAGAAAUAUUUUUAAUCCCUGUAAAGCGUUGCAGGGAAUAAAAAUAAAUCGAGUAUUUUACUAAUUCAUACCCCUUAUAUUUCUAUGAAUGAAUUAACUCUAGAAUUCCAUGGUCCAAUGGAAUUUCCAUUCCAGAUUGAAUGCAAAAAAAUGUAUACUGCAUACGCUGCACUUAAAGGUUUGAAAUAAUAAAAAAUGAAAUGGAAUUUCGUUGUUAUUACCUGAGACUGAAUUCGUUUAAGAUUGCGACUCCGUGAAUACAUGUCGAGUAAUGUCACUACGUAUAAACAAAGUCAAUUGACAAUAGACGCACUGAAAAAAUGCGUCGAAUAUUAUCUGCAUUCCUAUCUCCGCUUUCAUACAAAACGUAUUGAUUAUAUUCAAAACGCAGGUUCACUGCAGCUUCCAUCGAAUAUACCGUUUUUAAUAACUUUCAUAUCACAACUGAACAAAUCCAAAACUAUGUAAUACCAAAUUCGUAUUGGCAGUAUAUUUAGAAAGUUCACUUUAUAGAAAAUUUAUCACGUUGUCGAAUAUUCUCCUCUAGCCACGUUUUCCUGGACGCAUGAACUUUGACAAAAUAAACCACCUAUCUCGGCAUAACAAAGUAAGGAAUCGUGCUCAGCUUUCCGGCACGUUUCACAGUUUCAACCGUGAAAAACCACGCAGCACCGCAGGAUUGCAGGAUUCUGAGAAAAAGUAGAUCGGUAAAGCGUCCCUUUGAAGAAUAUCCAUCGUGAAAAACGGGAGAAUUUAAUUUCGGCGACACAUGGCGAGUGUCACUCAUAAAUAACAUGGCGUUCUUUCGUGGCGCUGUGAAAGGCUGUACACCUAAGGCGGAAAUCGAGCUGAAAUGGAUGGACAAUCGAUUGUGCUACGCGUAUGACGUUGUGCGGACGACAAGCAGAUCGAUGAAGUAGAAUGGCCGGGCUGGAAAAGAAGAGGAACAUCGAACCUACGACCAGGCUGGUUUUCGUUUUCGGACUGAAACAUGAAGUUCCAACCGAAAGUAGCGUGCUUCCAGAUAUAUAAGCGUAUACCACGAACGUGUACCUAGGUUCAGUGAGUGCUGGCAGAUGUAUCUUGGCACGAUACCAAAGCUCUAAUGUUAUCCGGCAACGAAGAGAACCGGUUGUAGACGAACGGCAAGUAAGGUAUCGCGAAAUUAUCGUUACUCAAGAAUUUAGUGCUUAAUAGCAGCUUGCCAAGCGCCUAGCUGGUGUCGACAGAGAAAACCGACUAACUUCCUAUUUUGUUUCUUCCGUCACCUUUCUCGCGGUAAUCUGCUUUUCCUCGUACAAUGCUCUAAGAGCUAUACUCGUUGGUAGAGCAGCUUCGUUUUGGAACGUCGAUAAUUUUCCAGUUUAUUAGAAUUUUAUUUGCGGUCGUAUUUCGUCGAUAUCGUUACUUCUAACUGUGAAAUGUUCGAAAGAAUGGACAUGGAUGUUGCAAUUAAAUAAAUGAAGCGACUACCAUAAACGAGUUUCUUACUGUUUAAGUUUCACCGUGAG